UGAACCUACAAGAACAACAAUGACCUUCAGCAGCAUAUUGAUCUGGACACUGGCAGCAUUAUGUGGAGAAUGUAUUGGUCAGGUGACAGUGACUCAAACUCCCUCAGUGCUGCUCUCUGAACCUGGACAAUCACUCACUGUCAACUGCAGAUUCAGCAGAGAUCCAGUCUGCUGUUCUUAUUAUGUUAGCUGGUACUUACAGAAACCUGGAGAAGCUCCUAAACUCCUGAUUUAUUUAACAAACAGUCGUCAGUCAGGAACUGCAUCUAGAUUCAGUGGCAGUGGAUCUAACAGUGAUUUCACUCUGAGCAUCAGUGGAGUCCAGACUGAAGAUGCUGGACAUUAUUACUGUCAGAGUGUUCAUGUCAUCAACAGUGACUUGGUGUUGACACAGUGA